AUGUACUGCCACAUCAUAUUGAAAACAUUUGUGCUUGUCUGAUCAUUGAAGUCAAGCAAUGUUGAGUCUAUUUAGUACUUAGAUGGGUAGUUGCUAGGGAAACCUGGGUGGUGUAAGCA
rnacentral:rRNA from 1 species